rnacentral:lncRNA from 1 species
GCUCUCAUUUCACAUAGCUGGGUAAAUCUUUUGAAACAAAUGUCAGACAGCUAUAUAUGCAACCAAUUGAUAGCAUUUUUCCAUUAUAGACUCUUAUUUAUAUGGUUAUGACUUGAUGGUUUUAAUUUCUAUUUAAUCAUAUAGAAAUUUGACUAUUCAAAGCAUAGAGGAACAGUUUAGUCUACAAAACAAUUACAAGUCUCCUUGAACAGGAGAGGUGAGAGAAAGGCUCUAAUAGAAUUUAAAGGUUCAGUGACCAAUUCUAAAAAGUAUGGCAAUAAUCACUGCAUUGGUAAAAAUAAAUAUUUGCCUUAUAUUUAAUGCCAGUAAGAACUUAUCCUAAAUUCAUGAUUAUGGCUAUUACUUACUUUGUCUUACUGUUUGUUAACAAUCCAGUACUACCACCUUAAAUUUGCAUAUAAUUCAGAAGUGCCAAAACACCUUUUCAUACGCUAUUUGACUUGAGCUUUUCUUUGUGAUUCAUAAAAUGAAGAUGGUAUCCUUUAUAAAGAAGUAUCCUUUCCAAAUCAGGUCGUUCUGACAAAAGUGGCUUGCCUGGAAUGAAAGCUGGCAAUCUUGCUCUAGGCUUCUGUCUCAGAGUCUCAGUCUCAGGCAUUGAUCUCACUGAGGGAUCAUUUAGCUGGGAAUUGGUUUUUGAGCUGAAAAAAACAGUGACUUAAAGCAGGAAUAUUCUUCAUAUGUGUUCAGUUCAUUCAGGCUAAGCACUAUGGUAGAAUAAACGUAUGCUGCUAUCCUUUUCCUUCAGGGACUCAAAAACAGGACCAUCACUCUCAUUAUACCAGUUGAUUCUCAGGCUUGAAUCAAAUGCGAGCUAGUGGGUAGUGGACCCAAAAUGCUAGAAACAUGUGGAAGCAUCUUCAAGGAUGCCUUCAAGGAGGACACCUUCAAAGAUGAAGCGGAACAGCUAAACUGGCUUCUGUAAAUAUCCACCACCAUUCCAAACUUUCAUUCUGU